GAUGAACGCUGGCGGCGUGCCUAAUACAUGCAAGUCGAGCGAAGCGGGGACGGGUGAGUAACACGUAUAUAACCUCCUAUAAGACUGGGAUAACUUCGGGAAACCGGAGCUAAACCCGAUUCUUACCGCUGGUUCCGUUCUGCAUUAGCUAGUUGGUAAGGUAACGGCUUACCAAGGCAACGAUGCAUAGCCGACCUGAGAGGGUGAUCGGCCACACUGGAACUGAGACACGGUCCAGACUCCUACGGGAGGCAGCAGUAGGGAAUCUUCCGCAAUGGGCGAAAGCCUGACGGAGCAACGCCGCGUGAAUGAUGAAGGUCUUCGGAUCGUAAAACUCUGUUAUUAGGGAAGCGGUACCUAAUCAAAAAGCCACGGCUAACUACGUGCCAGCAGCCGCGGUAAUUC
rnacentral:rRNA from 1 species